rnacentral:precursor_RNA from 10 species
GCCUGGCAGCAGCUCCGGGGCUCCACAUGCAGAGGAUGGAGCUGAAUGGGAUUUUGCUGCCUGAAAUGGUCCCAUCCAGCCCCAGUCCUGCUGCACGGGGAGGCAGAUGAGUGUGUGCUUGCCU